UACGGGGGGGGCAAGCGUUGUUCGGAAUUACUGGGCGUAAAGCGUGCGUAGGCGGUUCGUUAAGUCAGCUGUGAAAGCCCCGGGCUCAACCUGGGAACUGCGGUUGAAACUGGCGAACUAGAAUCUGGCAGAGGGGGGUGGAAUUCCACGUGUAGCAGUGAAAUGCGUAGAGAUGUGGAGGAACACCGAUGGCGAAGGCAGCCCCCUGGGCUGAGAUUGACGCUCAGGCACGAAAGCGUGGGGAGCAAACAGG
rnacentral:rRNA from 1 species